CAGCCCCGAAAAUGGAUGGCGCUUGAGCAAACCCUUAGACGGUGCCGUUAAACUAAUUUAAUUUAGAGUUUAACGUGUAGGGGGGCGUAGUGAUUGCGUCGAAGGUUAUGAGCGUAAGCUCGACUGGAGCAUUCAUUAGUGCAGAUCUUGGUGAUAGUAGCAAAUACACAAGUGAGACUCUUGUGGGCCGAAGUGGGAAAGGGUUUCAUGUCAACAUCAUUUGGCUAUGAGUUAGUCGGUCCUAAGCGUACCCUGAAAAGGCAUAUAUAACGCGAAAGGGAAGUAGAUUAAUAUUUCUACACCGUUUAUGGAGAAAAUGAGAUGCAAGUCUUAUUUUGCGUGGUAACACAAAUGAAAUUGGUUACAUCUUAUUAAGCCCCGGCUAGAGAUCUCUUCUCUAGUUAAGUGUUACCGUCCACGGAAUUUGCUCAGCAAGAGAUGUGGACUAAGACACGCAGAGUAGUGCUAUUUUGGCGCUAUCCGGUAUGCUUAGUAGGAUCCUUAAAACACCAAUGGAAGCAUAAUAAAUUUCAUAAACGGCCGUACCCAUAUCCGCAGCAGGUUUCCAAGAUGUCUAGUCUCUGGUCGAUGAAAUAAUGUAGGUAAGGGAAGUCGGCAAAAUAGAUUCGUAACUUUGGGAAAAGAAUUGGCUCUUGGGAUGUGGAAUGAUGGGAAUUUUAUUGAAGUGAAAAAAAUAAUAGAUGGCUGGAAAUAGCAAUAUUUUUGGAACUUUAUUAUAAUUUUCAUGGAUAAAUUAUUCUUUAACGUUAUUCAAUUAUAAACAUCAACCAAGAACUGGCACGGACUCGAGGAAUCCGACUGUCUAAUUAAAACAGAGGAGACAGAUGAUGCGAGAGCAUGUAGACUGUGUCUGAUUUCUGCCCAGUGCAAUGAAUGUUAUAAUGGUGAAAGCCAUUGAAGCUCUUGUAAACGGCGGGAGUAACUAUGACUCUCUUAAGGUAGCCAAAUGCCUCGUCGGGUAACUUCCGACGCGCACGAAUGGAUUAACGAGAUUCCUACUGUCCCUAUCUACCAUUCAGCGAAAUCACAGCCAAGGGAACGGGCUUGGCAGAAACAGCGGGGAAAGAAGACCCUGUUGAGCUUGACUCUAGCUAGGCAUUGUGAAGUGUCAUGUGAGGUGUAGUAUAGGUGGGAGUAGCUUGCUACGUACUUGAAAUACCACUACUUACAUCGAUGCUUUACUUAGUCGAUUAAAUGGAGACGUAAUUUAUUACUUUUCUUGUAUUAAAUAAAUUGUUUUGAACAAUUUAUGAUCCACGUCGACGAUCGUGUCUGGCGGGGAGUUUGACUGGGGCGGUACAUCUAUCAAACCGUAACGUAGGUGUCCUAAGGCAGGCUCAGAGAGGACAGAAACCUCUCGUAGAGCAAACAGGCAAAAGCUUGCUUGAUCAUGAUUUUCAGUACGAAUACAGACCCUGAAAGGGUGGCCUAUCGAUCCUUUUGUGUUAGUAUGUUUCUAAAAAGAGGUGCCAGAAAAGUUACCACAGGGAUAACUGGCUUGUGGCAGCCAAGAGUCCA
rnacentral:rRNA from 1 species